CCGCCAUCGAUAAGAAACAAUACUGUGCAGCCGUAUUCAUUGGCCUGGCCAAGGCUUUCGACUCUGUCAAUCACCACAUCCUCAUCGGCAGACUCAAUAGUCUUGGUUUCUCAAAUGAUUGCCUCGCCUGGUUCACCAACUACUUCUCUGAUAGAGUUCAGUGUGUCAAAUCGGUGGGCCUGUUGUCCGGACCUCUGGCAAUCUCUAUGGGGGUGCCAAAGGGUUCAAUUCUUGGGCCGACUCUCUUCUCUGUAUACAUCAAUGAUGUCGCUCUUGCUGCUGCUGUCAGGGCCAACCCUCCUACCACGACCAGCACUACAAGCCAGAUGGUCAGCCUGGAAUUCAGCUAUCAGCUUGAAUCCUUUGGAUGGGUCAUCGUUGGUCCCUGACGGCUUCCCUCAUGAGAAGAAAGGAGUAUGGUACCAUGAGGGUCAUCCACCUAAUGUCCAUGUCCUCACCAGCACCACAAGCCAUUCAGUCAGCCGGGAAUGCGCACACUGGCUUGAAGAUGAACAGGCACGGCUGACUUCAAUAAACUCGUUAAGGGUGUGGCUGGCUACUCAAUUAGGCGCCACACUUAUCAACUGCUGGUUUCCCCUCACGGGGAAGAGGACUGAGAGAGCAGGUAGCUCUAGUUGCAAGUUUUAUUUGCU
rnacentral:lncRNA from 1 species